AUUGAACGCUGGCGGCAGGCUUAACACAUGCAAGUCGAGCGGGGGAAGGUAGCUUGCUACCGGACCUAGCGGCGGACGGGUGAGUAAUGCUUAGGAAUCUGCCUAUUAGUGGGGGACAACAUCUCGAAAGGGAUGCUAAUACCGCAUACGUCCUACGGGAGAAAGCAGGGGAUCUUCGGACCUUGCGCUAAUAGAUGAGCCUAAGUCGGAUUAGCUAGUGGGUGGGGUAAAGGCCUACGCAGGCGACGAUCUGUAGCGGGUCGGAGAGGAUGAUCCGCCACACUGGGACUGAGACACGGCCCAGACUCCUACGGGAGGCAGCAGUGGGGAAUAUUGGACAAUGGGGGGAACCCUGAUCCAGCCAUGCCGCGUGUGUGAAGAAGGCCUUAUGGUUGUAAAGCACUUUAAGCGUGGAGGAGGCUACUUUAGUUAAUACCUAGAGAUAGUGGACGUUACUCGCAGAAUAAGCACCGGCUAACUCUGUGCCAGCAGCCGCCGUAA
rnacentral:rRNA from 1 species